rnacentral:ncRNA from 1 species
UUGUCUGAUAGUCUAUGAGUGUAUAUGUCUUGCAAUACCUACAGCAAAAAAAAUAAGUGACAAUAAGAAAUAAAAGUUCAAAGAAGUGAAAUUUAAAAUCUUUACUAAUCUAUUUACAAAUAUUAAGCUAAAGGAAUAAAACAAUAAAUUUGAUUCGAAACCAAUCGGACCUCAUGUCUGUAUUAUGUGGCGACUCUGUAUAACUUUGGUCUGAUCGCGUGGUCUCGUCCUGUAUCUUUCAAAUGUCAGCCUUAUCAAUUGCCAUUGCUAGGUUAUGCACCUACCAAGGUUGUAAUGGGUGAUGGGGAAUCACAGUUCAAUUCCAGAAAGAGAGCCUGUGAAAUAGCUACUACAUCCAAAGAAGGCAAAUGCACAAAUUACCCAUUCCCAAAACAGGGAGAUAGUGAUGAAAAAUAACAAUAUCGGACUCUUUUGAGAUCCUGAAACUCGAAUGAGUACACUCUAAAUCUUUUAACGAGCAUCAGCUAGAGGGCAAAGAAGAAUUUUGCUAAUUUUUUUCAGGA